rnacentral:rRNA from 1 species
UACGUAGGGGGCAAGCGUUGUCCGGAUUUACUGGGCGUAAAGAGCGUGUAGGCGGCCACGCAGGUCCGUUGUGAAAACUGGAGGCUCAACCUCCAGCUGUCGACGGAAACCGUAUGGCUAGAGUCCGGAAGAGGAGAGUGGAAUUCCUGGUGUAGCGGUGAAAUGCGUAGAUAUCAGGAGGAACACCUGUGGCGAAAGCGGCUCACUGGACCACAACUGACGCUGAUGCACGAAAGCUAGGGGAGCAAACAGG